UAUAUUUUUUUUGCAGCUUGUUUUAGGGGAUAAUAAUAAUAUCACAAUCAACAAUUUUAUGAAUUGUAUUUAGAGUAUCCACUUUAUUAGCUAGCUUACAUUAAUCGAUAUACAAAAAUGCCGUUAUCACAAGAACGUUUUAAAAAUAAACGACUAUUUAAGGAACUUGGAUGUGGUAAUGGAGCCAUAGACCUACCUAGUAUUGAUGGUGCAAUAGAUUGCACCCAUAUUCAUUUGAUAUAUACAAGAUUUCAAAAUGUUGACGAGAUUUCCAGAAAUAAAAAAGGAUUGUUGUUGGGCCAACGACAGAAAUUUUAGAUAUCGUUCUUGAAUGCGCAUUACCUUUUUUAUUUUAUAUUUACAUCGAUUGGUAAUCCUACAACGGAUGAAGAAAUAAGUUAUAAUACGAUUCACGGAAAAACAAGGAGAAUUGCCGAAGGACAUUUGGUAUAUAGAAACAGAGAUUCCCUUGUUUAUUAAAAGCU